rnacentral:misc_RNA from 1 species
GAUGAAGAACGUAGCGAAAUGCGAUACGUAAUGUGAAUUGCGAAUUCAGUGAAUCAUCGAGUCUUUGAACGCACAUUGCGCCCCCUGGUAUUCCGGGGGGCAUGCCUGUCCGAGCGUCAUUGCUGCCCUCAAGCACGGCUUGUGUGUUGGGCCCCGUCCUCCGAUCCCGGGGGACGGGCCCGAAAGGCAGCGGCGGCACCGCGUCCGGUCCUCGAGCGUAUGGGGCUUUGUCACCCGCUCUGUAGGCCCGGCCGGCGCUUGCCGAUCAACCCAAAUUUUUAUCCAGGUUGACCUCGGAUCAGGUAGGGAUACCCGCUGAACUUAAGCAUAUCAAUAAGCGGAGGA